GUCACUUACUGUGGUACUCGGCGCUCUUUGUACCCCUGACAAUAUCACGGUAAUGCCCAGAAGAACCACCUGCCCCGGGGCUCACCCGCAUCAGGAUAUACUUAAAGACCCCUUCCGGAUCUAUCUCCACCUCAGAACCUCCGGUCAUGAGGAUACAAACAUCCAUGCCACUACCACCACCACCAGUCUUCAGGACACCGCAAGAACAGUAUGCUCCCAGGCAUGAGCAUGGUUGGAUGGCUUCAGUUGAGGACCCGGGAGUGAUGCCACCACCAUUGCCAUAUGACCCCUGGCAAGAUUCCUGGCCAGAGGAAUAUCCUUCCUUUGGCUUUGAUGGGGAGCCAAGACAGUCACAAAGGGUCCAUGUAUUUACUCCCCCCCCCCCCCACAACACAUUCUCAUGGCAGUUAUGGAUUUUACCUACAGCCUAUGUCAUAAGAAGUGCCAAUUGGACAGGCUGAGUGGUCACACACUGGUCAUCAGUGGGACUGUCAAUCAAGAAUGAGAGCUCCACCAUCCUCAUCACUUGGACGAGGUCCACCAUCCUCAUCACUUGGAUGACCUCUACCAUCUGCAGAAGGAAAUAUAGCAGAAACUACAGCUGCCCCACAAGAACCAGCAGAUGCAGGUGACCCUGCCCCACAAGAACCAGCAGAUGCAGGUGACCCUUCCCCACAAGAACCAGCAGAUGCAGGUGACCCUGCCCCACAAGCAACUAGAAGCCCUGCUGCUCAAGAGCCUGUGGAUGCAUUGUAUUCUCCCCUGGGUGAGGAAUACAUUGCACUCCAGAGGAGGCUCAUAACAAGCACCAAGAGCAUACAAAGAGGCCAAGAGAGGUUCUUCAGGAACCAAGAAAGGUUAAUCAGGAACCAAGAAAGGUUUAUCAGGAGCCAAGAGACGAUACAACAAUGUAGCAUAGAACUGCAGAGGGACAUGGCAGCAUCGUUAAGUUCAGAACCAGUCACUGAUAUGCAGAUGCAAAUGGACAAUAGAUGGAGAGAACAAAAUCAACUCUUGGGUGUGUUGGUUGAGCACUUUACACACCAGCAGGACACUGCCUCCAGCCUAUCAUUUGUGGCCAGCACACCAGCAGAAACACCAGAAUCUUCUAAAACCAGGAAAACAAGGAAAUCCACUACAGUCACCUCAGCUCCCUCAUCCAAGAAGCCAAAAAAUAAAUAAAUAUUAUUAUAGUUCACCAUAAA